UGGAAAUGAUGCAGAUGUUUUUCUUGACAAAACUGUGGAAGCUUUAAAAUGCUGAUUUAAUGAGGCUGAUCC